UCUGCCAGACAUUCCUAGCAGACAAUGCAUUUGGGCCUGCCAGGUCUGACGGGUAUCCUCGUCCACCAUUGAAGCCAACUCACCACCAGGUGAGUUAUUCACAGUCAUAACUUCUCUACCAACAGCACCGCCUGCUGGCCACAGGUUGUCAUGACCCUGCUGGCUAACCUUUACUAUUUCUAGGUUUUGCAGUAACACCUCUGUCCCCAGUAACAAUGAUCGCUGUUUGUGCAUCAACUUCACUUCAGUUAUUCAAUAAAAUGUAAAUAUUUUAAAUGAGCUGCAGUCAAGAACCGCUGGUUUGAAGCUGAAGGGAUUUUAUAAUCAAUACACGAACUUUCAUCCACAAAUGAGAAAAGGUAGAACAAACACAGGGAGUGAGCUGGACUUUGGUGUUAAACUACAUCUGAAUCAGAUGUAACCUGCUACAAUGAUCCUACAUAUCAGAAGAACGAGCAGACAGGAGGACAGUCAGGACUCAUCAUGAGGGGAAUUCUGCUGCUCUGUCUGCUGGGAUGUGUCGCUGCAGCACCGAGCCAAAUUAACUGUGUUGACCUGGCAAAGGCACCACCUUCAUGUUUUCUUCCAACGGAGGGAAUCGCUAAUCCAAACAAUUCCUCACUGGGGAAUAAUACCUUAAAUUCAACUGCAAGUCUUGUAAAACCUGUAGCAACGACCAAAAUAAAGGACGAGAAACUUCAAGCAAAGCCAACAUCUAUACCUCCUGCCAUCACAUUUACCCUCAAUGGCUCCUGGGAGUGGCACCAUUUCAAAAAUCCGUAUAUGUAUCCACCAAAGGAGAUGGCCGACCAGAAAUAAAGAAGGAACACCUGAAGGACGAUGGAUCAACCUUCAUGCAGCUGUUCUGGUUCUUUAAAUAAAUCAUAAAAGCCCUAAAAUGU
rnacentral:lncRNA from 1 species